rnacentral:rRNA from 1 species
GAGUUUGAUCCUGGCUCAGAAUCAACGCUGGCGGCGUGCCUAACUCAUGCAAGUCGAACGAGAAAGUGGAGCAAUCCAUGAGUAAAGUGGCGCACGGGUGAGUAACACGUGACUAACCUACCUUUUCGUGGGGGAUAACCUAGGGAAACCUGGGCUAAUACCGCAUAAUACCUACGGGUCAAAGCAGCAAUGCGCGGAUUGAGGGGGUCGCGGCCGAUUAGCUAGUUGGCGGGGUAAUGGCCCACCAAGGCAGUGAUCGGUAUCCGGCCUGAGAGGGCGCACGGACACACUGGAACUGAAACACGGUCCAGACUCCUACGGGAGGCAGCAGUGGGGAAUUUUGCGCAAUGGGGGAAACCCUGACGCAGCAACGCCGCGUGGAGGAUGAAGUCCCUUGGGACGUAAACUCCUUUCGAUCGGGACGAUUAUGACGGUACCGGAAGAAGAAGCCCCGGCUAGCUUCGUGCCAGCAGCCGCGGUAAUACGAGGGGGGCAAGCGUUGUUCGGAAUUAUUGGGCGUAAAGGGUGCGUAAGCGGUUCGGCAAGUCCCGUGAGAAAUCUUCACGCUCAACUUGAAGUCUGCACUGUAAUCUGCCGGGUUUGAUUGUCGUAGAGGUCUAUGGAGUUUA